UGCAUUAACACAAAUGUUCCCUGAAGCGUGCAACAAGCUGCACAGAGCCACUCUUCUCUCGCUGCUCUCAUCCUUUGGCUGCCUGGACGGCCGGAUCAUUUUUAUGAAGCUUCAUCAGAGUGUCGAGGCCAGACGAAGGAUCACGGAGCAGCAGGAGCGUCCUCGGUGCAGCCAUCUGUGAAACUGGGCGCUGGUUCUGCAUUUUGGACCCAGUCUGCACGUCCAGAGGACCUGAAAACUGUUGCCCAGACUGCAGCGGGACUCAUUGUUGCUCUCUCCUCUGUCUCCUCAACUCAUCGCCAGCUCCAGCAACAGGAAUGAUGUUCCGGCUGGGAAGACUGACACCGGGAUACUUCCGACUCCUGCAGAGGCAGAUGUCCGGUGAGGUUCAGGUGGCGCCGUACAGCAGCAUCAUGGAGCCUGUGGCCGUCACCAUGGCUACGUUGGGCGUGGCCGUAUCUGUGUACAGCGCCAGGCAGAUGACGGCGAGCGGCGAGAAACGCCACUGAGAAGCUCUUUGGGAAUGAUGGAGACGGUUUGUGUUGGAGGCUGAGAGGCUUCAGGUCUGUGGAAGGAAAAUGAAAGUUUGUUAAAAGGAAAAUUUGGUCCGAGACGAAAGAGCAAGUUAGAGACGUGAUGCGGGCUUUUCUGUUCCAGCACUAGUAAUUUCAUUAGAAAUAGGACUGAUCCACUGCAGGAAUGCCUCAUGCCACCAUCCUCAGGACGCAGACACAGGACUGUAAGGUGCAGGAAACCAGAGGCUGGUCUGUGGAAAAGAGUUUCCCCAUUAGGUCACAGAAGUCUAGAGUCUAGAAAAUCUGUAGAUUUUACAUGAGGCUAUUAUUGUUAUUAUUGUUGGUACUUGUUGUACUACAAAAAUUAUUCAUUUUAAUUCUGAUAUUAAUCACAAAUGUUUGUCAUUUUAUCAUUUCAUCGCAUUGUGCCACUGCAGUAUUUGAGUUUUGUCGUACAUCCUGACCCAGCCACACUUCUGACUUUAAAUUAUUCACAAGAAAUGUGCAGAAAAAGACUCUUUUCACAGUGAGAUGUCAGUUAACUGUAUUUAAAGUAUGCACGCUGUGAAAUACUUUGCUUAACACAAAUUAAACAUAAAUUCCAGUA